AGAGUUUGAUCAUGGCUCAGAAUCAACGCUGGCGGCGUGCCUAACACAUGCAAGUCGAACGCGAAAGUGGAGCAAUCCAUGAGUGGAGUGGCAAACGGGUGAGUAACACGUGGGUGACCUGCCUUCGAGCGGGGGAUAACGUCCCGAAAGGGACGCUAAUACCGCAUGACAUCCUGUCUUUUAACAGAUGGAGAUCAAAGCCGGGGAUCGCAAGACCUGGCACUUGAAGAGGGGCCCGCGCCUGAUUAGCUAGUUGGUGAGGUAAUGGCUCACCAAGGCGACGAUCAGUAUCCGGCCUGAGAGGGCGGACGGACACACUGGGACUGAGACACGGCCCAGACUCCUACGGGAGGCAGCAGUGGGGAAUUGUUCGCAAUGGGCGCAAGCCUGACGACGCAACGCCGCGUGGAGGAUGAAGAUCUUCGGGUCGUAAACUCCUUUCGAUCGAGACGAAUGGCCUUCGGGUUAAUACUCCGGAGGAAUGACGGUACCGAGAGAAGAAGCCCCGGCUAACUCCGUGCCAGCAGCCGCGGUAAUACGGGGGGGGCAAGCGUUGUUCGGAAUUACUGGGCGUAAAGGGCUCGUAGGUGGCCAACUAAGUCAGACGUGAAAUCCCUCGGCUUAACCGGGGAACUGCGUCUGAUACUGGAUGGCUUGAGUGUGGGAGAGGGAUGCGGAAUUCCAGGUGUAGCGGUGAAAUGCGUAGAUAUCUGGAGGAACACCGGUGGCGAAGGCGGCAUCCUGGACCAUUACUGACACUGAAUAGCGAAAGCCAGGGGAGCAAACGGGAUUAGAUACCCUCGUAGUCC
rnacentral:rRNA from 1 species